rnacentral:lncRNA from 1 species
GCAGUGAUUAACAGCAGUCACGAGCAGAUACACAUUGCUCAAACUAAAGACAUAACAUCUAGAUAUAACAACAUCUGUUUACGACUAAAAGGGAGUGUAAACCGGAAACGGGAAUAAAGAAGAGAUUAGGGGGUUGCUUGUAGGUCAAGGGACUUGGCUCCAGCACGUCGCCUUCGGGACACCUGUGCCCCUGUGAGAACCAGCAUUCCGGGACUCGGGGUCAGCGCUUCGGCCUUCCGUCCUCUCGUGCCCCAACAAUCCCCUUUCAACUAUUUUUUCUAGAUUCAUCUUUAAAAUAAGAGAGACAGCAAGAGAAGAACAACUGAAGGGAGAGGGGAGAAGGGAGGUGACUUAGAAGGGAGGAAAGAAGGAAAAAGUGAAAGGAAGAAAAGAAAGGAAGGAAGCAACGUCCUUGCAUUUUAAAUGCUAAGGGCAGUGAGUAUAAGAGGAAGCUCCUGACAAAAGAGGAGGACGAGAGAAGUGACAAGUACAGCCUGCCAGACAGGAAAGGACACCUAAGCACACGUGCUGUCACUUGUGUAUGGAACACGCUGCUGUCGUGUGUGAAGACUGCCUUAGGGGUGGUGAUUGAAGCAAAGGCUACCUCUGUGCAGAGUUUUGUUUGUGUUUUCAUUGUAGUUCACACUGAAAUUUAUUUCUGCUGCUAUUUUUUUUUAGAUAAUGUAGGCAAGUAGUUGGUGAAAAUAUUGAUGUUUAUUCUAGACACUCUUUAUAUGCUAACAAUUUAAUAUUUUAUUUUAUUGACAUUUUAUUUUCCUGGUUAGUAUAAAUUGUUUAAUAUAAGACUCAUAAUAGUAAAAUUUGCCAUCAAUAGAAAUAUUCCUAAAAAACAAACGUGGUAUCACAUACCCACUAUAAUGUGACUUUCCAAAAUUUUACUAUGAAGCCCCUAUUAAACAUCGGCAUCUAUAAAAUUAAGCAUCAUACACACAACAGAAAAGAUAUUUUAAACAUUUAUAGUCAUUGAAAACUACUCUACAUUGUUAUUAUGCCACCU